GUCCGGCGUACUUCCUCACAGAAUCGAUGUUGAUUUCCAAUACUUUGAGGCAGACAUGCCUUCCAAUCACAAUUGUUUAUCAUUAUCCAGCUUUGGACUUGCUCAAGCUCCGAUUUCUCAGGAACUGGUGGCUGUAUUCGAAGAGAAUGCGAUGGAGAACUGCCGAAUUUUGGAUUCUGGAGCUGAUAUUGGAUUCUUAAACGAGAGGAAAAGCACUGCUCUUAUUGAAAAGAAUGAAGGCAUAUGUGAUAUGAC